UGCAUGGUCACCUCUGCGAUUCGCUUGGUGU
rnacentral:piRNA from 1 species